UGUUCAAUGUCUGGACAUCAACACUCGGAUGAAAUAUAUACCAGCAUGGGAGUUUGUCCAUAGCAUGACCUACUAUGGGAAACCCUGACUGGAAGGGAGCAUCUGCUUUUUUAUGGAAGACUUGAGAACCUCAAAGGUUCUGGAUUAAGACAAGCAGUGGAAGAAUCUUUGAAAAGUGUCAAUCUGUUUCAUGGUGGGGUUGCAGGCAAAAGAGCUGGAAAGUAUAGUGGAGGUAUGAAGAGAAGGCUUAGCGUCGCAAUUUCACUGAUAGAUUGUUUAUAUGGAUGAGCCUAGCACUGGACUCGAUCCAGCUUCAAGACAUAAUCUAUACGGGCAAAACAAGAUUGUGCGAUCAUCCUAACAAAUAGCCACAGACAGCGGAUAAUAAGUUGGAUUGAUGGCACAAGACAGCUAUCAGCUACAUUUGACUUCACAACCAAGGGAGUUCUUCAGGUAUCAUCCAUUUUCAAUCGGUCUGAGAUGUUUGACUACCAGCUGACUGCUACACCCACAUAUGCACACAUAAAAUCUCUCUCUUGAGUGAACAUCUACAUUUGUUCUUGUUUUGACCAUUGGAUAUGAGUCCUGGCCAU